CUAAAGCCAUGGGAGCAAGAGUGAGGCAGCUGAUAACUGGCCUGGGUGGAGUGAGAGGAGUGACUGGCGUGGAGGUGUUGGCAGCUGGCCCCUGGACAGUGCUUCUUUUCUAGAGCCAUUCAAACUGUGGAUUAUUACCCAACAGAUGCCAGCGCUUGUGGGAGGGGUUGAGGGUCUCCCCAAGCAGAAACAAAGGAACUUGAGGUCUGCACAGGAAAGGGGCAAAUUUCCAGGGAUAUGAUUGCUUUCUUGGAGCUGUCAGAGGGACAGAAGACAAGGCAUCAGGAAUCAUAAUAAAAGCCAGGAAAUGCCCACACAGAGUGAGCAUAGAACAAAUAGGGGAAGCCCAGAGACUAUUAGAACCAGAAGA